rnacentral:lncRNA from 1 species
AUCUCAUUAAUGAUUCCAGAGAGAAACCAAAACCCUUUUUAGAAGAAAUGAAAUAUCAACAAAAGACCAAAAACAGAGUCAAGGUUUCCCCAACAUGGUGCAAGUAAUUAGUACUUUUGAAAAGAACAACUUUCUUAUAUGGACAACUUCUAUUAUGGAACUUAUACCAUGAAUAACUAUCAUCAUCCAGACAAAAAGCAAUGACAAAGAUUUAUCACCUCAUAACAUCUUAGAUGAGUCUUUUGUUAGGAGCUAAGUAGUGUGAUUGUGAAAAGUUGCCAAAAGUAGUCGAAAGUUUAGCUUAUAUGGUCACAGGUCCAAAGACAACAAAACAACAACAAGAAGCAUCUUCUAUCGAGCUUCCAACACCGUGAUGGUGGGUUGAAUACUAGACGAAGAAUUUGCUUCCAUCAUAUUCUUAUCAGUGAAGAAACAAGGCUCUUUGGGCUGAGGUAAUGCACCCUCACUACUCAACAUCAAAACCACAUAAUGCAUGUUUGGUCGAUCCUCUGGGAAACGUUGUACACAUAAUAGACCCAAAUUGAUUGAGCGUAGCACUUCAGAUAGAUUGCAGGUGUUCCCCAUUGAUGCAUCAAUAAAUUCUGAAGACCUAUCUUCUAUAAAGAGUGCCCAUGCCUAGACAGUUUAAAGGAGGAUCAGCACUAUUUUUAAAUAUUGAAAUAAGGAAAUAUUACCUAAUACUUACAUGCCCAAGAAGAUUAAGGUCAUGGUCUGGGUUGUUAAAUCCUCUAUUUCUCUUCCCACUUAUAAUCUCUAGAACCAAAACACCAAAGCUAAAGACAUCGGAUUUUGUGGAAUACAAUCCUUCACUUGCAUACUCUGGAGACAUAUAACCUCUACAAGAAACCGUUGAAAAAAAAGGGUUAAAUUUACAAGCAAUGGAGAUAAAGACUUUAUACAUAUCACUAAAUAUACUUACAAUGUUCCAACCACUCUUGUUGUGUUUGCUUCAGUUUCAUUUCCUCCAAAAAUUCUUGCUAUUCCAAAGUCUGAAAUUUUGGGUGUCAUUUCAUUAUCUAGUAAAAUGUUUUCUGCUUUGAGAUCUCUAUGGAUUAUCCUGAGUCUAGAAUCUUGAUGAAGGUAAAGCAAGCCUCGAGCAAUCCCAUUGAUAAUGAGGAAGCGCCUAGGCCAAUCUAGUACUCCACUUCGCAUCUGAUCUGCCCAUUUUUUUAUCAUUCAAGUUAACUCAUUGUACUACAUGGAUUAUUGAAAAUAAAUGGGAAAUAUUUCAAGAAACAAAUUAUUACAAAUUCCAUGAGAGUUGUUCAUAGCAAUGACACAUAAAAAUAAAAAGUGAGUAUACUUGAAACUCAUUUUCAAUGAUUAAAGAACACUAUCAAGGAGACAGAAAUGGAUCAUAAUGGAUCUUAAUGGUAGGGUUCCAAACCCCUAGCUUUUCAAAUAAGAGUCAAAAUGUUAGAGAAAAUGGAAAUACAAAAGAUUUUCUAGAUAAAUGCAUCUAUGCUUUAUCUUGUUCCCAGGAAUUUUCUUUGCAAUCGGUUAAAUGCAUUGUAAAUAAAGAAUUUCCCAAGCAUGGAUAGGAGAUGAGAAAGAAAAGAGAAGUCACUCGACUAGACAAACAAACUAUAUAGUGGUUUUAUAGAGACAAACCAAAAAUGAAACGGUCCAAGCUUUUGUUGGGCAUGUAUUCAUAGAUCAGCAUCCUUUCUCGACCUUGAAUGCAACAUCCAAGAAGCUUUACAAGAUUUCGAUGUUGAAGUUUUGCAAUGGAUUCAACUUCAUUUUUGAACUCUUUUAAUCCUUGUCUAGAAGUUUUUGACAGCAUCUUCACUGCUAUUUCUUGUCCUUCUUGCAAUAUUCCCUGAAAAUAUCAUUCUUUUUUAUUUUGAAAGCUUUACAAAUUAGAUGAAACUUCUCAAUAUUUAAAAUGAGGAGUCCUAAACAAACUAGUGACUCAAAAAUAUUGACACAUAUACUGGCUACAAGACAUUACAACAUAUAGCGGCCUUGAUACUUGUUGCUUCAUGUAGAUUCUAUGAGGAUUGGGAACAUUAACUACUUCUCAAGAUGCUUAGUUGUAUCUCUGUUGUGUGUUAUUAAAUUGUAAGUUGUCUUCUGCUAAAAAAGUAGAGUAUACCCUUACCUUAUACACAGGUCCAAAACCACCCUCUCCAAGCUUAUUAUCUCUAGAAAAGUUAUUAGUGGCAUUCAAUAAUAUAUCCAAGUCAAAUAAUGGUAACUCUAGAUGCUCAUGGCCUUCAUCUCCUAAAUUGUGUUCCAUGUAUCCUACAAAAUGGAAAAAGGAAUGAAGAAUUAAAAGGAUGCAUGAAUCAUAUAGACAAAAAAACUUGAACUUAACCCAUUUCAAAGCCUACAUCAUUUCAUCAUUUAUCAAACCAAGCCAGGUCAAUCCCUUGCUCCUUUUUUGAUUAAUACAUAAUCAAACGUGUGGAAGUACUUUAUAGAGAUACAAGCACUAUGAUUUGUUACUUACUUUUUCUCUUUAGCUGCUUCUUCCUCUUCUUCAGCAUAUACAAGGUCAGGACUAGACUUAAAAGAACUAUUCCAGUAAUUGAUAUAGAGAUGACAAUGACCUGCUUUUGCUUCUUCUUGGAGCUGCUAUUUGUGCUUGAAAAAGCAUCUUGACACAGAUGGAAAGAAAUUAAGCAAGAAAGCCAGGCAAUAAAAUAGAAAAACUAUAAAUUCCUGUGAGUAGCAACUGCUGAUCCUAAAUGUAUUUGAAGUUUACGACCAUGAAAGCAGGAGUUCAAGGAACUGCAGUUGCCAUAGGAUUUUAAGGCACAAGUCAGUUGUGUUCAUGUGUUCUAGCAUCUAGCUCACUAUAAUUGAAAUCCAAAAGAAAAAAUUUCAAACUUUUGAGUGGACCUCUGCUUUUACACUCUAGUCUUCAGAAAAUAAGCAUGUUAUUCCAGGAAAUAAUGUGCUUGGUAGUUGGUCUCAGAUUUUUCACAUCAGCAAUAACUGAGACAGAGGUCAAGCUUUAAGUCGCAAAAUCAAGGGAUGAAACUAGAGGCAUGUAUGCAAGGUGUGCAACUGAUUAAAAACCUUUGAAUAAAUAUACGAUGGAAUUUGUAUCAGAUUUAUGUUUCUCAGGUAAGAAAAAGAAAAGUUCAUACCUAAGUCUGCUGCAGCCAUCCUUACAUAAAACUCUUGCCCAUUUUGAGUAAAGUCUCUGAUGUCAAUCAAUUCACCAAACCAGAGCAAGCAUCCGCUUCCUCCUCCUCUGAUAUCUAAAUUUCCAUAAGCAGUGCAAGAGCAGUUCCUCAAGCAGAGGGAAGCACAUUCCUUAAGGUUCAUGCUUUCAUUAAACGAGGAGUUCCGCGUGUCUGGCAGUUUCACACCGGAUAACUUUACAAAUCCGUCCGUCUGACAAUCCAGUGGAGUGCUUCGAACGCAUCCACUUGACCAGUCUGCCAUGUCCCAAUUGAUUUGGAACUUUGGCCUAAAUCCUUUCAUACAGUCACAUGUUUGAGAUUGGGCAGUCUUACAGAUUCCAUAUCCUCCACAUAAUGCAUAAUUGUCACAGUGAUCCCUCUGUGCAGUUGUGUAAAGAGUCCAUUCAUUUUUUUUAUCAGUCCAUGUAGACCUUCGUGAAUAACCAUCAGGAGUUAACACAAGCCUCAUCAUAACAGAGCUGUCAACUAGAGAAUAAGAAAAAUAUAUCUCCUUUUCAUUAGAAACAAAAUGAAAUUUAGUAACUGAGUUUUCUAUUACUUGAGGUAGUCCACUAAAUCCAACUCCAUUCCAUGGUCCAGCACGAAACUCUACAUCUAAACCAUUCCUCAAUAAUAGUUGUGGAAAUCCACUUAGAUCAAUCCCAUAAGUAAAAUUACCUUUAGAAGGGUCAUCAGCACUCGUCCAUGAUGACAGGUACCGAUCCAGGCCUGUUACUCUGUUCCAUCCAAACUUCAUGCCUGGUAGAAGAGUAUCGCCUGGAUAAUCAGAACUCUGCCAUAGGAAGUUUUCUGGGUCACUAUCAUUGCCAUUUCUCAUAACAAGAUUUCCAGAUUCCAAAAGCUGAGCGUUUGGAUCCUGUGCAGAACGUGAUGAAUUAGAAUUCCAAAGAAUUCCAUUAGUACCGUUGACCACAACAAGAAUUCCCUGCUGAGUGACCUUUAAAACUCCUGAUGAAUCAGUUAGUGGACUUUCUCUAUUGGCAACCCAUACCACCGUCCGAGGAGCCACUUUCUUGUACCAUAUCCCCAAGUAUCGAUUCUUGGAAUUACCUGGACUGAAGAAACCCAAUUCAAAGGUCCCACCCGUUGAAGUGAUGGUCUCACCAUCUCUAAUGGGUUGAUUUACAGUUAUGGUGUCUACUGCAGCAGAGAUUCUUAAGAGGGAGAAUACAUAGAAGAAGAUGAAUACAGCUGUUGUAAGAGCAUCCAUUUUUGUUUCUAGAUAAUAAAAAAAUGCCUAAGAUUUCAGAUGCUUUCCAAAUCUCCGUAUAUUUUCCCUUCCCACCUAAGUUUGACAUUGUGUUUGACAUGUAUGACCUAGAGAAGAACAUCACCUCCACAUUCAUACCUAUCAGUAACAUCCAUCGUUGGACUAAUUAUCCAAUGGCCAUCAUCUUCUCCAACAUCCAAAUUUGUUUUUUCUAUACCUCUUAAAAUGGACUGGGUAUUAGUUUAUCCCUUUAAAUCAAAUGUCCCGUAUUACAGCAAUGAAUGACCAAUCUCACUUUUUCUUUAAAGCUAUAUUUGGUUGCUAAAAAGUACUAAAAAAAAUAAAUAAAUAUUAAAAAAAAUAAUUUUCUCAUAUUUAAUUUUUUUUAUAGAAAAAAUAAAAAUAAAUUAAAUAUAAUUAAAAUUAAUUAAAAAUUUAUAUAUCUUAAAAUUAUUUCAUCUUUAUAUAAUGAAAAAAAAAAAUAAGUGAAUGAAAUUAAAGAAAUAUAUAAAAAUAAUUUAUAGAUUUAAAAUUUUUUGUUUUUACUUUUUCUUUUCUUAUAUACUUUUUCUCUAUUUUUUUUUUUUUUUUUUUUCAAAUUUUCUGACAAAUAAACAUAAGGUAAAAGAGUUACAAGCUGAAGUAAAAAGACCAAGAAUAGAAUGAACUGUUGUAGCAACCCGCUUUCCUUUCCAAAGUUUACAGGACAGGUCAGUUAGAACUCACAGCAACAGGUAGGAUUGAAAAUAAAAAAUCAUACAGGGUGUACCUUUCAUGACUUGUCAUGAUUGCUAGGAAGACUUUUGGACUGACUAACUGGCCCAAAAGAUGCCCGCUGGCUACCGCUACUUGGAUUCUCUAUUUUUUUUUUCCCAACAUUGGAACGUAACUUGUUACCAGCAUUGGAUCAAAUUUAUAUGGGUGUAUAGACUAGUGUACACCUUAGAUAUUGGACUGAAAAUAUCUAAGGUAGGAUAUUUUCAUGACUUGUCAUGAUGAGUAGGAAGACUUUUGGACUGACUAACUGACCCAAAAGAUGCCCGCUGGCUACCGUUAUUUGGAUUCUCUAAUUUUUUUUUCCAACAUUGGAACUAUCCUCACGUAACUUGUUACCAGCAUUGGAUCAAAUUUAUAUGGGUGUAUAGACUUGUGUACACCUUAGAUAUCGAAAUCAAGCUUUGAGCAAAGUCACCACAAUAGGUCGGGCCUGCAAGGAAGUUGGCUAUGCUCCAGGUAUAAAAAUCGAAAAGGGUAAGAAAGGCAGUUUGAUUCUCUCCAUCACCCUCCUCUUAAUUAGAGUGUUACAAUUCAAGUCCCUAUAAUUGUAUUAUUCCCAGAGUUUGCUUAGGAACAUGAGCAAUGAGGUGUGACCAAUGAUGAAAAUAUCGAUACUUUAAUUCUACGGAUAUAUAGGAGAUAUAUUGAGGGACGAUAUUUUGAAAAAAAGUAUUAAUAAACCUAAAAUUUAUCAAAAUUCAUAAAAAAUAUAAGAAAAACCUCAUAAAAAAUGUAAUUAAAAGUAUAAUAGACUGUGGAUCCCGCAUUUCGGCUCGAUGCAUUCCCACUCGAUGGAAAAACUCUUUUUUUUCAUUUAUUUGAUGAAAAUUUGAUUUUUAGAAAAAGACUUGGAGUCGUCACUUAUUUUUGUUUUAUUUUUUUAAAGGGAAAACAAAAUAAGAAAAAAAAACUUUAAGUGUGAUUCCUUAUUUGAAAAAAAAAGUCUGUGAAAAACCGAGUCUGGAUUCGAGGAUUAGGUUACUCAUUAGGAAUGUACGGUAAAGACUGUAACACCCCUCUAGGCCCCCUAAAAAUGAGUAUCUACUAAAUAAGAUGAAGCAAGCGUGACAAUUGAUAACGAAAUCAAUGGAUAACAAUAAAAUGAUCGAAUAAUAAAACAAAUUAAGUAUGAGAAUGAAUAAAUAGAUGAAGUAGAAGUAGGAGCGUACCUUAGCAGGAAGUAAUAAUGCGCUAUCAUGGAAACAAGGUUAGCUCAAAUAUAAAAUUAUCACAUGUAUAUCAAAGAUCAGGAUAAAAAUCAAGCAAUAUUAAUUAAGCAUGACAAUCGAUAAUCAGAAGAGAAAACUCAUAUGUAGGGCCUCUACCAAAGCCCAAUUUAUCUUGCAUGAAUUGGUCUCACAAAUUUCAUUAUUUUGAAAUUAUGAAAAAUUCAUUAUUGCUUAUGUAAAAUCAAGAGAAACAGAAAAUUAUUUGAAAACCAGAGUUGAAUUAAAACUGUUCGAAAGAAAAUUGGAUUUUCGAAAUUUAUUUGAAAAUUGGAGUCUCGAAAAUUAUUUGAAAAUUGGAGUCUUGGGAAUUAAAUUUAGGAAUUGGAAUUUCGAAAAUUAAAUUUGAAAGAAAUUCGAAUUUUUAAAAUUAUUUGAGAAUUAGAGUUUUGAAAAUUAAAUUAAGAAAUUGGAACUUUGGAAAUUUAAUUUGAAAUAAAUUAGCAAAAUUAUUUGAGAAUUGGAGUUUUGAAAAUUAGAUUUAAGAAUUGGAAUUUUAGAGAUUAAAUUUGAAAGAAAUUAGAAUUAUGAAAAUUAUUUGAGAAUUGGAGUUAUAAAAAUUGGAAUCUUGGAAAUUAUUGAAGAUGGAAUUUUUAAAAAUAAAUAAAUAAAAUGAUGAUGAUGAUGAUGAUGAUGAUGAUGAUAAUAAUAAAUAAAUAAAUAAAUGUGAAAAUUGGAAUUUUGGAAAUUAAAUUCGGAAAUUGGAAAAUUGGAAUUUUAGAAAUUAAGAAUUAAAUUUGAAGAUCGGAGUUUUGAAGAAUUAUUUAAAGAUGGAAUUUUAAAAAUAAAAUAAUAAAAUAAUAAUAAUAAUAACGAAAAUAAUAAUGAUUAAAUAAAUAAGUGUGGAAAUUGGAAUUUUGGAAUUUGGAAAUUAAAUUUGGAAAUCGAAAUUUUGAAGAUUCAUUUGAAGAUAGAAUUUUUAAAAAUAAAUAAAUAAAUAAACAAAAUAAUAAUAACGAAAAUAAUGAUGAUUAAAUAAAUAAAUGUGAAAAUUGGGGUUUUGGAAAUUGGAUAUUAAAUUCGAAAAUUGGAAAAUUAGAAUUUCAUAAAUUGAGAAUUAAAUUUGAAAAUCAUAAUUUUGAAGAAUUAUUUGAUGAUGAUGAUGAUGAUGAUGAUCAUCAUCAUCAUCAUAAUAAUAAUAUUAAUAAUAAUAAUAAUAAUAAUAAUAAUAAUAAUAAUAAUAAUAAUAAAUGUGAAAAUUGGAAUUUUGAAAAUUAAGUUCGGAAAUUGAAAAAUUGGAAUUUCAAAAUUUGAGAAUUAAAUUUGGAAAUCGGAAUUUUGAAUAAUUAUUUGAUGAUGAUGAUGAUGAUCAUAAUAAUAAUAAUAAUAAUAAUAAUAAUAAAUAAAUAAAUAAAUGUGAAAAUUGGAAUUUUGGAAAUUGGAAAUUAAAUUCGGAAAUUGAAAAAUUGGAAUUUCAUAAAUUGAUAAUUAAAUUUAGGAACCAGAAUUUUGAAGAAUUAUUUGAUGAUAAUAAUAUUAAUAAUAAUAGUAAUAGUAAUAGUAAUGAUAAUAAUAAAUAAAUGUGAAAAUUGGAAUUUUGGAAAUUGGAAAUUAAGUUAAAAAUUUGGAAAAUUGGAAUUUCAAAAAUUGAGAAUUAAAUUUGGAAAUCGGAAUUUUGAAGAAUUAUUUAAAAAUGGAAUUUUUUUAAAAAUAAAUAAAUAAAUAAAUAAUACUAAAAAUAAUAAUAAUGAUUAAAUAAAUAAAUAUGAAAAUUGGAAUUAUGGAAAUUAAUUUUGAAAGAAAUUGCAAUUUUGGAAAUUAAUUGAGAAUUGGAGUUUUGAAAAUUAAAUUUAAGAAUUAUAAUUUUCGAAGAUUAAAGUUUUGAAAAUUAAACUUAAAAAUUGAGGUUUUGAAAAAUUAAAUUUAAAAAAUGAAAUUUUGGGAAUUUAUUUGAAAAUGGAGUCCUUAAAAAAAAUUGAAUUUGGAAAUUGUAAUUUUUGAAAAUUUAAUUUGAAGAUUGAAGUGAUUGAAAAUCCAGAAUUUUUGAAAGUUAAUUUAAAAAAAAAAUGGUGAAACGUGAGUAUAAAGGCUUAAAAAAGGUGUAUGGGCAUAUGUGCCCUAUGGAUGGCCCACCAAAAGUCCUCCAUUGACUUUACAACCAUAAAAUGAUUCCCAAGCAAGAAAAACCAUUAAUGGCUCUGAGAGCCUUCAUUUCAUACAUGUUGCCCCCAUUUUCAACAUACUCAUGAGGAAUAUCAAUAACAAAAGGUCCAGAUGUGCACAAACUAGCUUAUCUAUUGCAGUGCAGAGCCUUGAACUAGAGCGCAUGAAAACAUCGCUUUGAUCAGAUUUUCUGCCACCUCUUCCUCUUCUCCUUCUUCUAUUUUUUUUAUGAAGGCGAGGUUUGGCUAUGAGGUUUGGCGUUCUGAGGUUCGUGUAGCAGCGCUCCAAGCCAUCUCUCUCAUCCACUCUCACUCACUCUCAUUGAUAGAAAACUAGGAAGAUGAUAAAAAGUUGCCACUAAAAUCUAGAUUACCUACUAUCGACUAAAAUUUGAAUAACUCAGCUUAAAUGUCUCCCCUAUAAAUGGAAAUGAAAAGAAAUAGAAGAAACCCAACAACCAUCCUUAAUAAUCAAAAUGAAUCUCAAAUGUCAACAAGUGAUGGAAGAAAAUAAUGCGAAAAUGGAAGAAGAUGAAGUAUACGGGAACUACACCUGGUGGGAUUCGCUUAAGCGCUAAUGCUCGAUUUCCAGUGCUUCGCUACCUUCUCCUCCACAGCACAAGUUCGUUCCCUCUUCAGCUUUCACUCCAACUCCCCAAAAUCCUUCCCAAAAAGCCCCUGAAAAAUCCUCAUUUUCUUUGUUUUUCUCCCAGCUAAAAGUCCCCCCCUCCCCCUCCCCCCAGUCCUGAACCAAAAAUCCCCACCUAGUUCUCUUCCUUUUUCUCUCUCAAUCUUUGUUUUUCUCCUACCUCUUUUUCCAUUUGGUUUUCUUGCUCUGUUUUCAUACUCCACUCUCAAAUUUCAGUCUCUCCCCUUCCUCUCUCUCUCUAUGAAAAGCUCACUCAACUAUAUAUCUUCUUUUUUUUCUCCAAAACCUCUCCAUACCCUCUACAGCUCCUACAGUUUUCCUUUUUCCCGAAAUCUCACUCCCCUCCGAUCAUUUCCUGUAGCUGUCUCUGUAAGUCCCCUCUAGCAGCCCAAAACAGCCCAUUCUCAGUCCCAUCUGGCCGCCCAAAGCAGGCCACACAUAGUCCUCUCUUGCUGCCACAACGCCUCAUCCUCGGGGUGGCAAAAAAAAAAAAAAAAACUCCUAUCCAAGGGGGUCUACAUAGACAUUUUAAAGUUAUUUUGUUAAAGAAUUUGAUAUGUAUAUGAUUUAUUAUAUUUGAUAAUAAUAUUAUAUGCAUCGAUAAAAAAUAUGUAUUUUAUAAGUGUAUAUUUAUUAUUAAAUUACAGCAAAUAUUAUUUCAUAAUAAUAUUGUGAUAUUUUAUUAUAAUAUAUCUAAUUUUAAAAUAUAUUGAAUAUUAAAAUUAAGACCCAUUUAAUUUAAUUAUAUUAAGUGAUAUAAAGUAAAUGAUGAUAUGUAUAUAAUUUUUUAAUAUUUAAUAAUCUAUUAAUAAUAUUAAAAACACUAUGAAGAAAAUUAUGAUAAUAAUUUUUAUAUUUUUUUGUAAUCAAUUAAAUAAAAUAAUUUCCAUUUAAUCAUAUAUUGGUAAAAUAUAAUUACCAAGUGUAGAACCUCAGGCGCUACCAACUCUCCUAAAAGCAAUUGUUGUUAGGAAAUGCGCAUACCCUAACCUUAUAGUGCAUUCACCCAAGUGCCUACGGCGAACACAAGGAGAGUUGAUGGGCGCGGCCAACCCUCCGAUCUGCCAACAAUCUCUCCCCCAGCGACACCCCUGGGGUUCAAACCCGUGACCUCGACUCUGAUACCAAUUGAGAAAACAAAUGUUAUUCUUAAUUAAGAAAAACACCCAAAAUGGGGGGAGAGGGGGUGAAUUGGGUUUUUAAAAUCUUUUCAAUCACAUUCUCCUAAUCGGGUUUUGAUGAUAACAAAUCAUGGUUAAGUGACUAAUUGGUUUAAUGGUUAAGAAUCUCAGGCAUAAACUCGAAAAUUCAUCAAAUAACUAAAUGGAUACAAGAUCGAGAUGCUUGGAAGACUUGUGAUCAUAGGAAACUAAUGUAAGAUGAAUGCAUGAGUGCACUUAGAAUUUUCACACGUUUCAUGCAUCUUAGAAAACUCGGUUUAUUCUUUAAAACUUCGAUUUCAUUAAAACCCGAGUUUUUAACUAAUGUACUUUAGGCAAAAUAUUUUUCUUAAUUAAGUAUAACCUUUGUUUUCUCAUCAAGGAGUAAACUUUCCCUAGGCUACAAAAAUCAAAGGCAAGCAUUUUUUAGCUUGACUAUAGUAGGCGUCAUUUAACUAGACUUGGAGCGCCCUUUUUUCUUUUCUUUUUUUUUAUUGGAGAACUUUGAUUGGAGUAGUUGGAGCUGGUGUCGUUUUUGAGAGGUUUGAAUGGAAUAGGAAGAGUCAAUUUUUUUGGAAAAAACGGUGAUAAAUUGUCAUCUCAAUCGAUUUUCCAAAUAAAUCGCUAAUUAAUCAGCUAUCACCGAAAUUUCAGCGAUUUUUCAUUGAAAUUUAACAAUUUUUUUAUAUAUAUUGCCUCUCCAACAUAUCAACCUCCAUUUUGCUUCACCGAUCACAAAAACCCGAAAUUUCAGAGAAAUUUUACCAAAAAAAAAGAACGAAAUUUUCAUCCCUGGUCAUAACUCCUUUUUAGAAUUGGUUCUUCCUUCCUCCGUUACGUUUGAUAACAACUUCCCUCAUAUUCUCUUUUCUUGCAAGCAAAACUCCACUCAUAUAUUUGUAAGACAUCAAUGUAAAAACAUAGCAUUUUAUUCUCUUGAAUUUUCAUCACUCUUGUGGUAUCGAAGCAGUGGGCUCUCAUGAGCAAUCCAUUUUUUUCAUGUGUCCUUCAAAUAGCCUCAUUGAAAACCAUGGUUGUAAGCACCUCUUCUGUUGUUGUGGAGAAUGUUGGAACUGCCAAUCCCAACAAGUUAAUCUCCAUCAAUACCACUGUAUAAUUGUUGUUGAAACUUUCUCCCAAUAAUUAUCCAUUUUUGUGCAAUUUCACUCCUUACUGCUAUGAUGUGAUCUACUAGGGUAUGUUGAGGGAAUGUUUCAUUAUCCACUGGCAAUCUUUGCAUCACUUUCCUAUGCACACCAUUAUAUCUCUCAUCUCUACUGCCACGAUAUAUAAUUAAGCAUAGAUUGAGUUGGCAACCUUGUGUGUCAAUUGGUUUAAAUUCCGAAUUGUGGAUCUUAAGGACAAGCUUACCUUUGCAAAUAAAUGAGACAAAAUUGUUACUGAGUACAUGCAUAUAGUGCACAAUGGAUGGAUUGGCUGUUGUCAAUGUUUAUAUUAAUAAUGAUGAUCUCCAACUUCAUGUUCUUCGUGAUCUUAGGAAGGAAUGCAAAGAUGUUUGCACUAUAGUUUGAAAUCGUAGAUUCUCAUGACCUUUGAAGAGUUUCAUGAUGCAUUGAUUGAACAUGAAAGCUCCCUUAAAGGAAAAGAAGCUCACUCAAACAACUCAUCUUUCACUACCAAUUACUCUAAAAGAUAAAGGCAACCCAUCAAUCCCUGAUCCAAGGGAUCCUACAACAAAGUUGGUCAAUCUAAAGGCACCAUGAACCCAACUUCUGAUCAUGGGCAUACACAUCAAAACUGCAAUAAGAACCACUUCAAGCCUCAAUCUAAUAUGGUGUGUCAAUUAUGACAAACCUAGUCACAAUGUCAAACACUACUAUUGAAUUUGAGGGUAUUUACUUAAAGCAUCAUAAGCUAAUUAUACCACUUAAAUUAGCAAGUCAUAUCCUUAUAAUUGGUUGACUGACUCCAAGGCAUUGCACAACAUCACCUUCAAUGCCAACAAUUUGGGAACUCAUUCUAAGUUUAAUGGGAAUGAUGAUUGUUAGGAACCCCGGAUUGUUCCAUUCCUUAACCCCAAAUCAUAUAGGGUGCAUGCAUUUAUCCCUAAGGCUCUUUAGAUUUGACAAAAUGGAAAAACAUGAUGUCAAAAACUAAUAUGAUUAAAUCUAGAGAAUGUUGAAAUUAUACCUACAAUCUAGAUGUUCUCAGAUCCAUUCCAAACCAAUGAAGUCCUCAAAACUAUUAUAGAGAUCGUUUAUCCAAUGUUCUUUCACUCAAUCUCUCUUCGCAUAAAUCCAAGCACGAGAAAAGUGUAGGCUUUUCUUUUCUUCCUUAAAGGAGACUAAGGUUUCUCUCUGGUGGUUCUCUGGUAAACAGAAUGACGAAAAAAUUUUAAAGCCCUAACCCUUGAGAGGGUAUUUAUAAGCAUCCCUAUGGGCUUAAGUGACUUGAACUUAAAUUGAGUUUGGGUCACCUAAUCCAGCCCACCUAGGUCCUAAUUAAUGAAUUAGUCAUAUUGAACUUCAAUUAAUUAAUUAGCUCAAUCUAAGAAGUCAAUUUACAAGAUAUAGUGAAACCUUGCACGUACUUUUACUAAAAUGUUUUUAUGUACACUUAUGAACAAGAAAUCCAAAUCCUUUACAUAAAAUGUCUCCAUAAAUUAGGAGCUCGAGCGAGGACCACUACGACCCAUAAGAAAAUACUAGAUCCCUCAAAAUCCAAUCCUGAAGUUGAUUCAACACUGUACUAAGGAGAAUCAAGUGCACUCUAAUAUCUUAUGAAACUACAACAAGAUGAAGUCCGAGUCCAUGACUUACUAUCAAUUGCAUGUGGGUUAUCCGUCAACUAGUGUCUGUAAUCUAAAAAAGUAGUGUUAUCAAAACCUAUCAAGUUGGUUCUCCAAUCUUUGAGUUAUAGAUCAUUCUAUUAUGUGAUCAAUUGAUAUGCUCCAACUUGAAUUAGCAUAUGUUAAAUUCCAUUUAAAGAAUUUUUAUGAUCAUAGUCUUCCUAAUCACAUGUUCUUUUGAUCACUUAAGGGAUACCGUCUCAAUUCCAUGAGAUAUCAUGGUACCUUUAUUAAAAAUAUCUAUUGUCACCAACCUCCAUCAACAAUAAUCCAAUCCAUAUGGAUAUAAAACUACAUUAAGGUCUUACUCAUAGGUCAAAGUCUCCUAUUAAUUUUAGUACAGGUUCAAUAUGCCCUCAAUGUUAAGAUUCCUUUAGUAGCUUGGUGAAUCAUGAUAGUCAAUAGUCUUAUGUCAUGAUUCACUGUAGGUCAUGUCUAAUGUGUAAUCAUACACACAAAUAUACUCACCAUGGGAAAUCAACCUUGACAAUCAAGAUAUGUCAUCCUUUCAAUUAGGAGGUAGUGUAAUAUAGUCUCUACUUAAUUGCCCAAAUCCAUUAAUAGAUUAUAUAUAAACAACUUAUUAUCUUGUAAAAAAACUCAUGACUUGUAUUCUUUAUGCAACUCGUGAUACAUCUAAGUCAUGUACAAUGCAAAUUAUAUGAGUAUAUAUGCUCAAAUAACCAAUUAAUACAUAAAGGACCAUUGAAUAGCAUUCCAUCGUCAAACACGCAAUUGUACAACUAAAACAUUCUUCACAAGUAGUUGUGGCAAUCCACUAGUAUCAAUCUUAUAACAAAAAUUACCUUUGAAAGGGUCAUCAACACUCUUCCAUGAUGGCAACUACCUAUUCAGGCUUGUUACUCUAUUUCUUUGAAACUUCAUGCCUGGUGGAAAAGUAUCGCAUGGAUAUUCAGAACUUUGCCAUUGGAAAUUUUUUAGGUCCCUCUCAUUGCCAUUUUUCAUAACAAGAUUUCUAAAUUCCAAAAGUUGACUAUUUAGAUCCUGUGCAGAAUGUGAUGAAUUAGAAUUCCAAAGAAUUCUAUUAGCAUAAUUGAUAACAACAAGAAUUCCCAAUUGAGUGACCUUUAAAACUCCUAUUGAAUGCUUUAGUGGACUUUCUCUAUUGGUAACCCAUACCACAUGCUUCUAGGCUUUCUUGUAUAAUAUCCCCAAGUAUCGGUUCUUAGACCUACCUAGAUUGAAGAAACCCAGUUCAAAGCUCCCACCAACUAUAGUGAUGAUCUCACCAUCUCUAAUGAGUUGAUUUACAAUUAUGGUGCCUACUACAAUGGAGAUUCUUAAGAGGGAGAAUACAUAGGAAAAGAAAACUACAAACUGUUGUAAGAGCAUAGAUCCAUGGGUGCUUCCCAAGUCUCCUUAUCUUUUCUUUUUGCCUCCACAUCCCUAAGAUUUGGCAUUUCCUUCAAACAUAACAAUCAAUCUCGUUUCCUAUUGGUAGGCCAUAGCUCUAGAUAUCUAUCAAUAUGAAUAGUCAAUUCUUUUCUUUGAAUGUGUAGUCAAUUUUAUUAGGUGGUGUGGUCCCUUGAAUUGAAUAUUUGUUACAUUCAAAUCUUUUCUAUGAUUGCGUAAUCCAUACUAUUAGGUGGUACAAAAAUAACAGUGGGGUCCAUCUAUCAGUGGAUUGAAUGUCUAAAUUUGAUUUUUUAUACCUCUUAAAAUGGACAAGGGAUUAGUUUAUACCUUGAAGGCACCUAUGGACUUUCCUUAUGGCCAAUCUCACCUCUUCUGUAGAAGAAUUACAAGGUGAAGUAAAGACCAAGAACAGAAAGACUGUUUCAGGGAUUCUCUUUCCUUGUCAAGAUUUCCAAGAGAUAAAAAUGCAUACAGGGAAAGUUUAAAUGCUACAAACAGCUUGUAUUAUUAAAUUUUAAUUAAUACUUAUGAAUGGCUUCCAUAAUACUAACCAACAGGCAAAGAUUAAUCAGCUGAAACUGGCCCUCGCUUGUCAGGGUACGAAUGUGGCCCCAACACAUUCCCUUGAGAGAAAAGACCAGGCUCAUUAGGCUGAGGACACGGUUAGGAUUCGAGAAAAUCUAAAAUAUCACCCACAAAAAGAAAAUUUUUUGCAAAUCCACCUAUCAUGUAUGUAGCACUAUUCACCUUCUUGUUCACAGCUAGAAAUGAUACGCGAGAAGAAAAUGUUGGUUCUCCACCAUCUAUAUAACAAUGUCUACAAGUUCAUAGAUUGUCAUCAAAUUUGAAAAGUUCUUUUUGUAGGUCUCAACGUUGUGAGGUCUAUCCUUAUAUGUAAUCACUUUAGUUUCUAAAAAAUUUGUUUUUUUUUUCUUUCUUGUGUAAAGGUUAUCAGGUUCAAAGGAAAAUCAAUAGGGUGAAAGAUGGGGCUGCCAAACAAGAUCAAUUACAAGAAGAAAUCCAUUUAACAAGGAAUCUCAUCUUUAGGACAUGGUGAUUUGAUUUCAAACAGCAAACUUCCUGCACUUGUGGUAGAUAGCAAUAGACUUUGUCAAAUAUUGGAAAAGGCAAUUUUAGAACUUCAAGGUGUUUAGACCCAAGUUGUGGAUCUCUUAGCCCCUAAAGUAACUUCAAUCUCGUUAUCAUAGCUAUGGUACUCCCGAAUCAUUAACUGGAUUGAGGUAAGCUUAUCAAUUUUAUAUUGCUCAUGCAACUAGAGGUGUCCAUUGGGUCGGGCCACCUAUUUUGGCCGUGGCACGGCACGGUAAGGCGGGGCCGGGCCGGUACGGCCCAAAAGGAGCAGGCCGUGCUGGGCCUAAAGGAACAGCCUGCGCGGCCCGCCGUGCCCCGCCUUGUAUCCAACCGUCUGAACAAGAAGGCUGACAAGAAGUCUUCAACCGUCUGAACAAGAUUUUUCCUUGAAAAGAAAAUUUGAGUUCAAAACCCUCGUAAUUUUCUACAUUCAGAAGUGUAUCCAAAGCACACAGAUGUGGAUUAUUGAUUAAAUUUUCUAUUAUAAAGACUCUCUUCUGAGAAAAAAAAAAAAAUCUCUGGAAGUCGUUUUCAGAUACCAUGUUCGGUGCUAACCUCUCAACUACCCCCUCCAUCUUCAAUACUAAAGCUUAACCCCUAAGCCUCUCACUCUCUCUCUAUCUGGAAUCAAGAAUUUCCAGAAAAAAAGGCCCAAAAAGAAAGAAGAUGAAAGAAGAGCAGCAGCACCUCCACCACCAUCACCACCAGCAGAAAAAGAUCAUCACCGCCAAGAAACUCACUCAACCCACGGCGUCUGUCCUUCUCCUCUUGCUAUCAGCUCAGUUCACUCUCCCACCGCCGGGACUGCAUCUAUCCCCACCGCCGCCGGCGCCGCCGUAGCAGAAUCGGACAGCGGCCACUUUGGUGUCACGAGGAGGUGUGGCGACCCAGUUCCCUCAAAGCUCGUUCGGCAAACGAUUCUCGACCGGGUCUUCGGUGGCACUUCGCCGUUCGACUGGUUCCCGCCGCCGCACGUGGCCCACCUCCUCAGGCCGAAGAGAAUCAAGGGGUGGGCCUCGAACGGAGCCGUUUUCGAAAACCUAAUCCGGCGAGUGAAGCCCCGGACAAUAAUCGAGGUGGGGACGGUCUUGGGCGCGUCAGCGAUUCACAUGGCACGACUCGGCCCGACCGGGCCCGACACGAUUAGCCCGCGGACUUAUGGACCGUGUCGAGCCAUCUCUUUUCCUUGCAUGGGCCGGCCCGGCCUGGCACACUUUUUAAGUGGGCCGUGCUAGCCCAGCACGUUGACCCGUAACUCUACAUGCAACGUGUACUACGUAUAUCGUAUGCUAUAUUUUCACCUUCACUAUGCUAAUGAAUCUGCCAACAAUAUAAUUUAGAAACAACAAAAAAAAAUCUAACAAAGUCAUGCUAAGUGAUGCAUACUAAUUAUGUUUUGUCCUGUCACAAGGAUUAAACUGUAAUUUAACCUUAUAAGUUUAGAUUAUUUGCUAGACUCUUAAGAAUUUUUCAAUCUAUUUGUUUUUUUGUGUAUUUUAGAAAUAUAUGUUUUUUUCUUUUCCAAUAUUAAAUGUCUUUAUAUUUUCUUUCUGUUUUGUAUUAUCAAACUCAUGUAUUUUGUAUUAGGUCCUAUUCUUGUAUGAUGGACCACCAAAUAGAUUCAAGCCAUGAGCAUUCAUAGCAAAACGUUGGGUAUUUCUGCAUGCUCAUAUGAAAGGGAGAGGCAGGCAUUUCUGGAUGCUAGUGCGGAUGAGUUUAUUGAGAAACCACUCACUCAAAAGUUGGCCUCUGUUACGAGAGAGAUCCAAAAUGCUUGAAAGAGAGUUGGACCAAUAGAGGACUCUCAAUAUUUGAAGGCAUGUUAUAAAAAAAAUGGUCAUUCACGAUAGACUUAGGUGGUGUUUGUUUUUUUUACUUUUUACUAAAAGCAAUUUGUUUUUAGAAUUUAGGUCAUUUGUUUUUCUACUUUUUUGUAACUUAUUAUAAACUUUUUACUAAAUAGAAAAAAUCAAAAUAUGUAAUUUUUUUUAAUAUAAAAACUAACAUAUUGAUUUUUUUUUACUUUUUAAUACUUAAUAUAAAUAAAAUACUACAAAAACAAACAAUCUAAUAUUUAACACUAUUAAGCAUUAAAGUUCUAUUUAAAAUUAAGUAAAAAAACAAACACUGUCUUAGCCUUCAUUUAAACUUCCCGAGGAUACAAGAAAAAUUACGAAAAUGCUCAUACUUUGAUUAAACCAGGCUGCCUGUCCGGGAGUUUCAUACCAGAUCACUUUACAACCUGUCACUCAUCUGAUGAUCCAGUGGAGUAGUCCUUCCAUACACUCAUAUUUUGAAAGGCUUCAUGAUGACUGAGCUAUUAACAAGUUCAUAAGUAGAUGCAUCUCCAUUUCUUCAAAAAAAGAAGCAUAUGUAUAGACUGGGUUUGGUGUUAAUUGAGGAAACCCUCUAAAUUGAACACCAUUUCAUUGUCAAGAGCAAAAUGUCAUAGCUGAGCGAUUCCUCAGAAUUAGUUGUGGAAAGCCAUUAGGAUCAACCCAAUAUGUGAAAUCACCUUUAAUAGGGUCGACAUCCGUGCUCUUCCAUAUGAUAGGGAACCCAUCCAGACCUGUCACUAUGUUUCUUCCAAAUUUCAUGCCUUGUAGAAGAGUAUUGCAUGGACAAUCAAAACUCUGCCAUGGGAAGUUCUCUGGAUCACUAUCAUUUCCAAUUUUAAUUACAAGAUUUUUAAAUUCCAAAAGCUGAGCAUUUGGACUUUCUGCAGAAUGGAUUAUGCUAUUAGCAACACUUGGGAAAUGGAAAGAGUUCCCUGGUCCAUGACCUUCAAAUUCCCGAUAAAUUGUCUGAGUGGGAAUUGUACCAGUCUCCAUAGAUACUUUCCUGUGUCAUAUCCCCAAGUCUGAAUUUGUGGAAUGAAUUUAUCUGGGCUGAAAAACCCCAGUUUAAAGUUGCCACCUCCUCCAAUGAUUAUCUCACCAUCUAUAAAGGGCUGAUUUACUGUUGACUUAAUAGAACAAGACAAUUUUGGUUGGUGGACCAUGAUCAAUCAAUCAUUUUCCCUGGAUACAUAUUCUAGCAUUAGGUGGCAUGUAUUCCCUUCAAAUAAAUAACAAAAUCAAUCCCAAUUUAUAGCUAGAAUCUACUUAAAUAUCACAUGUCAGCCCCACAAAUUAAUUUAGCACAUUAGUUAUUGUUUGUGGUCAUAUUUUUCUUCUUUUUUUUACUUGAUUCUAACAUGUUAUGAUGGUAAUCUCAUUAAAUUAUUUGAAAGAGAAACUAAAACCCUUUUUUAGAAGCAAUGAAAUAUCACGAAAAGUCCAAAAACAAAGUCAAGAUUUCCCUAAAAGGUGCUAGUAAUAAGCAUUUUUGAAAAGAAUAGCUUUUAUUAUAGGGUCAACUUCUAUUAUUGAACUUAUGUACUAUGAAUAACUAUCAUCAUCCAUACAAAAAGCAGUAAAAAAAUAUUGAUCACCUGAUAACAUCUUAGAUGAAUCAAGGUUAGAGGAGAAGUUACCAAAAGUAAUUUAAGCAUGAAACCUAAGCUUAUAUGGCCACAUGUCUAAAGAUAACAAAACUCCAAUUGAUGAAGCUUCAUCUAUCGAGAUUCCAACAAUGUGAUGGUAGAUUGAGUACCAGAGGAAAAAUUUGCUUCUAUCAUAUUUCUAUCAGUGAAGAAGCAAGGCUCUUUAG